rnacentral:rRNA from 1 species
AUUGAACGCUGGCGGCGUGCUUAACACAUGCAAGUCGUGCGGUAACAGGCGUAGCAAUACGUGCUGACGAGCGGCGAACGGGUGCGUAAUACAUGGGAAUCUGCCUUUUAGUUGGGAAUAACCCGGCGAAAGCCGGGCUAAUGCCGCAUAAGAUCUUCGGAUGAAAGCGGGGGAUCGUAAGACCUCGCGCUGAUAGAUGAGCCCAUGCCGGAUUAGCUAGUGGUGAGGUAACGGCUCACCAAGGCGACGAUCCUUAGCUGGUUUGAGAGAACGACCAGCCACACUGGGACUGAGACACGGCCCAGACUCCUACGGGAGGCAGCAGUGGGGAAUAUUGGACAAUGGGCGCAAGCCUGAUCCAGCCAUGCCGCGUGAGUGAUGAAGGCC